GUUUCCAAAACAAAGGAGUUAAAAACAUGGCCGAUGAUCAAGGGAAUCAAGACAGUUUGAGACAGUUUGUUGCCGAUGAAUGUAAAGCUCAAGCUACAGAGCGGUCUGACGUUGAAAACCCUGAGAAUGUGACUUUAGAUGCCGAGAGAAUGAAUAACUUUUAUCAGCGUGCGUUGAGGGAAAGCGAGCGAAUGAGCAAUGAAGUCACUAGAUCCCACAUGCAGAGAAGUGAACUUCAUAAAGAACUAGGAGCAGACAUGUUUAAGAGCUGGACUCAAGAUCAUGCUCAAGAGGUCCUCAGUUCUGAAAGGUAUGAACUGUGGAGCAAAGAAGAAGAAAAGGCAGAAGAAGCUCUUAAACAGCUGAAGAAUUCAUCAAUCUGCGAAGACGAAAGCAGUGAUGAUGCAUCACAUUGACAAACUUUAUUAUAUUGGAACAUAUGGUAGCAGAAAUUAGGAAUUCAUGGAAGUCUUGGUAUUUAAAAUUGUGUAUAGAUUGACUGUUAUAUUUUUGGUACAUGAAUUUGUGGCUCACAGCUGGUGACUUAGACUCUAGCACAAGGUUGUACCAUUUUUGUUACCAAUGUAAGGACACAACAGACACUGGUUGUGAUGAAAACAACAAACUAUAAAAGGCCUGUUUACAUGGAGGUUGGGAAUCCCCGAUAGUUAAGGUAACUUGCCUUUCCAUGUAAUCUCUUAUUUUAUCUUGAUCAUAUUUAUACGACAGGUGUGGUGAUUCACCCAGGCAGGAUUAGCCCAGUCUGCCAGGUCAUGGUAGUGACAUCUUAACUCCCUCAGUGCAAGCACAACAACAACCUCAAGAAACUUCCUGGCAUCCAAUGGUUGUAAGAUUGUUUGUCUACACUUGCU
rnacentral:misc_RNA from 1 species